AGAUUGAACGCUGGCGGAAUGCUUUACACAUGCAAGUCGAACGGCAGCACGGGGGCAACCCUGGUGGCGAGUGGCGAACGGGUGAGUAAUACAUCGGAACGUGCCCAGUCGUGGGGGAUAACUACGCGAAAGCGUAGCUAAUACCGCAUACGAACUCUGGUUGAAAGCGGGGGACUCGCAAGAGCCUCGCGCGAUUGGAGCGGCCGAUGGCAGAUUAGGUAGUUGGUAGGGGUAAAGCUCACCAAGCCGAGAUCUAGUAACUGGUCUGAGAGGACGACCAGCCACACGUGGGACUGAGACACGGCCCAGACCUCCGUACGGGAGCAGCGAGGUGGGUAAUUUGGACAAGU
rnacentral:rRNA from 1 species